ACCAGCUGAACGCUAAAACUUCUAAUUGGUAGGCCUUCCGGUUGUUGCUUAGGCCCACAAUGAUGGAAGAUUGGCGGUGUUGUUCCGGAUGACAGUGGGCGUGAUGGAUCACCAUUGCAUCACUCUCAGAACUGGAGAAUAAAGAUGAAGGAUAUGAAUUUCGGUGCUGUGGCUUAGGACUGUCUCUUUCUUUUUCCUUUUAACUUCUUUGCUAUUGCGGAUCUUUGCAUAGCCGAUCUACCAGCUCCAGUAUACAACCAUUUUGCUUCUACAGCUGAGCCCCUGCCGUUCAGCGGACCAAAAUAGGAUCCAUUGGACUGAAGGUUUUCAAAUCUCAGAACUUACAUAGUGCUUAUGUGACUUUGGUUUACAAGCCUGUCUUGAGAAACAACACAGAUUCUUCCAGUGGGUGAGUAGACUCCUCACUGAGAGACUGAUUACCCUCAGGACCCAGUACUCAUCAAGGAUUUUAUUUGCAUACUUGAUUGACUUUCCAGUUUUUCAUGCCUCACUUUUUGUCAAGCGAUUAGUCCAAACUUCCGAAGUCUGUUAGUGCCAAGUACCCAUUAUUUCCAAAUUGGAUCUCUGUUUCUGCUGCCUUCUCCUUUAUCCCAGCCUCAAAGUAUCCUCACGCACCAUUUCAGGUGAGCAGCUGAUUUUGGUAACACUGGGACUUGACAUCCAAAACAACUGGAGGGCCAAAAUAUGGGAAUCUCUGUAACAGAUUAAUUGUUAGAGCAAAUGAUGGUAGCCAUACCUUUAUUAGGUCAACCCACUAGGUUGAAUUUUGUGCCUUUUUGAGUGAUUGGAACAAGGUUCUUGCCACGAUGUGGACUGUGAAAUACAUGUCUCCUAAUUAUAUGCUUUUCAAUUUUUUUAUAAAUCAGAAAAGAAAUCUUGGAGUGUCCCACU